GGGUGGUGCCUGACAAAGGUCACUGUCCAGAGCAGCUGGGCCCGAGGGGAGGGCAUGGCAUUGGCCACGGCUUGGUUCAGCUCGGCUCAGUGACAAGGGAGCCCCUCCCAGGUGCUGGGGGAUCUGAGAUAGUUUGUCAGCAACAUCCGGCCCCAUGACCGAAGUAUUAUGAAGGAACAAUGAAGCUCUUGGACCUAGAAAACAGGGCAGGGGAGAGAAAGGAAUCUAAGGAGAUUUGAGGAACAGAAGUGGACCCAAAGACUAACAAAGGCCCUCAUCGAUCGUUCCAGAGAAGAAUCAAUCAGAAAGGUUGAUGGAGACUUUCAGCUAACUGGACAGAGGCCCCUCAGGUGCCACCUCAGACCCCAGGACCCUAAUGAAAACCUCGGACCAAACACAGAUGCCGCCACUGAGUCAGGCUGGCCCUGGUGCUUUCUCACCGUCCUUCACUCUGUGGAGUGUACUUGGGUCCUGCUCAGUUCUUCAUUCCGGUUGCCAAAAGCCUGGAUGCAAGGUACACGUCCACUUUGGAAACUGGUUGGCAUUCCUAAUCAUGAACAUGUGGCUCACGCCUGUAAUCCCGGCCUUCAGGAAAGCUGAGGUGGGAGAAUCCCAAGGUCAAGCCCAGCUGGGGCAACUGAGUGACUGAGCAAGGCCUGAUCUCCAAAUAACAAAAGGGCUAGGGAUGUAGCUUAGUGUAGUUGCCCUGGGUUAUCCCUAGUUCCACAGGAAGAAAAACAGCAACAUGAAUUCCCAUGACCAGCCGCUCCACCCCGUGCUACCCAGCAGGAUGUAUUCGUUGUGAACCCAAAACACGCUGCAGAGUGCUGGUGGGCGUGACUGCCCCUGGGGACCAGCCAGGAUGAGAAAUGCUGCUACGUUCACAGCGAGCAUUGACCAGGCACCAGAAUGGGACAAAUCCCAUGAAAUUCGUGUUAAGCAAGCACAAAAGAGAGAACAUCCUGGAUGGUUUUAUUUCUAUAAAAUGCAGACAGCAGGCAAAGCUAUAUUCUGAAGUGAGAGAUUGAUUGAGCUGCAGUUUUCCUUAGGGCUGAGUGGGUAGCAGAUUCAGUUACUAAGAAGGUCCAGAUAUUUUUCCAGUACUAGGGAUCAAACCCAAGACCUUCAUCCCCAUCCUUUUAUCUUUUAUUUUGAAACAGGGUCUUGGUGAGCUAAAUUGCCCAGACUGAGCUCGAACUUCUCAGUCCUCCUGCCUGAGCCUCCCAGAGGCUAGGAUAACAGGCAUGCACCACCACAGCCAGCUGUAAUUCUUGAUCUGUGAGAAGACCACGUGGUUAGUUCCCUUUGGAAAAGCACUGGCUCCAGCGGCCAGGCAGGAAGUGGAGGGGAAAGUACCGCGUUCACGCUUCGCCGCUCCUAGUUGCAAGGCUUCCCAGCUGCCCACUCCCUUCCUUGGCCUCUGCUUUCUUGCAUAAGACACCAGCUUCCCCUUGGCUGUGUCAGCAAGUCACCCUCACCAGCGAUUCCUCAGGCUGUGGCCGACUCUAGGCUGGCAUUUGCAAUCCGGAAGCACUGUUGGCUUCUCGGUUUUUUCCAAGGAAAUGAAAAGGCUCCGAGUUCCCAGCAUCGUGGCUCAGUGGAUCACCACGUCGCAGCUGGGCAAAGGCGCUUUAUCAUCCCAGCAAGAGGAGCAGCCCCCAGCCCCCCACCCGGGAAGGAGGGGUGCAGGGAGGGUGCGGAAGCAGGGAAGGCCGUGAGGUCAGUCUCAGCGCCCACAGCCCCCUUCCCAGGAGGCUGACAGUCAGUGCAGAUGCUGUCCUCCUCCCUGAAAAUCCUGCCCUUCUCCUCCGGGGCUCAGGAUGCUGCUGCAUGGUCACCCCGAGAGCCCCUGCGGGACAGGAGCAGGUCUAGAGGAGCCGAUGGCCAGUCCGAGAACGUGGACAGGGCCCCCCCCCCCCGCCUGAGUCUGCAGACUCUGAGGUCCUGCUGGCCCCGCAGAGCCCAACCACUUGUUAAUUACAGAGAGGACUUUAGUCUUUUAUUAGCACAUGUUUGUGAUAGCUAAUGUUGACAUUCCUGUGUGGAGUAGGUGCAUGCACAUAACACAUCCCAAUUCUUUUUCCAUCCCCUUUCUCUCUCCUCCCUCCUCCCCUCUCCGUCUCUGCCCUUCCUGUUUAAGAAAGAUCCAUCUCCCUACUUCCUGUUAUAUAUCUUUUAUUUAUAAUUUGGGUUUCUCAUAUAAAAGAAACCAUGCAAUAUUUAAGCUCUCGUCCCUGAUGUAUUUCACGCAACAUUACGGUCUGAAGAUGCAUCCAUUUUCCUACAAAUGACUCAAGUUUAUCUUCGUGGCAGAGUAGUACUUCGUUGUGUGUAAACACCAUAUUUUCUUUAUCCAUUCAUCUGUAGAUGGACAUAUAGGCUGCUUCCAAGACUUAGCUAUUAUGAAUUGUGCUGCUAUAAACCUGAAUAUUCAUGUAUCACUGUAAUGUGAUGUCUUCAAUGCUUCUGAGAAGAUGCCUAGAAGGGGAAUAGCUGGGUGGAAUGGAAUUUCUAGUUGUAGCUUUUUGAGAAAUCUCCACACUGAUUUCUGUAGUGGUUGUACUCCCGCUGACAAUGUAGAAG
ensembl:lncRNA